rnacentral:rRNA from 1 species
GAUGAACGCUGGCGGCGUGCCUAAUACAUGCAAGUCGAGCGAACGGACGAGAAGCUUGCUUCUCUGAUGUUAGCGGCGGACGGGUGAGUAACACGUGGAUAACCUACCUAUAAGACUGGGAUAACUUCGGGAAACCGGAGCUAAUACCGGAUAAUAUUUUGAACCGCAUGGUUCAAAAGUAAAAGACGGUCUUGCUGUCACUUAUAGAUGGAUCCGCGCUGCAUUAGCUAGUUGGUAAGGUAACGGCUUACCAAGGCAACGAUGCAUAGCCGACCUGAGAGGGUGAUCGGCCACACUGGAACUGAGACACGGUCCAGACUCCUACGGGAGGCAGCAGUAGGGAAUCUUCCGCAAUAGGCGAAAGCCUGACGGAGCAACGCCGCGUGAGUGAUGAAGGUCUUCGGAUCGUAAAACUCUGUUAUUAGGGAAGAAUAUAUGUGUAAGUAACUGUGCACAUCUUGACGGUACCUAAUCAGAAAGCCACGGCUAACUACGUGCCAGCAGCCGCGGUAAUACGUAGGUGGCAAGCGUUAUCCGGAAUUAUUGGGCGUAAAGCGCGCGUAGGCGGUUUUUUAAGUCUGAUGUGAAAGCCCACGGCUCAACCGUGGAGGGUCAUUGGAAACUGGAAAACUUGAGUGCAGAAGAGGAAAGUGGAAUUCCAUGUGUAGCGGUGAAAUGCGCAGAGAUAUGGAGGAACACCAGUGGCGAAGGCGACUUUCUGGUCUGUAACUGACGCUGAUGUGCGAAGGCGUGGGGAUCAAACAGGAUUAGAUACCCUGGUAGUCCACGCCGUAAACGAUGAGUGCUAAGUGUUAGGGGGUUUCCGCCCCUUAGUGCUGCAGCUAACGCAUUAAGCACUCCGCCUGGGGAGUACGACCGCAAGGUUGAAACUCAAAGGAAUUGACGGGGACCCGCAUAAGCGGUGGAGCAUGUGGUUUAAUUCGAAGCAACGCGAAGAACCUUACCAAAUCUUGACAUCCUUUGACAACUCUAGAGAUAGAGCCUUCCCCUUCGGGGGACAAAGUGACAGGUGGUGCAUGGUUGUCGUCAGCUCGUGUCGUGAGAUGUUGGGUUAAGUCCCGCAACGAGCGCAACCCUUAAGCUUAGUUGCCAUCAUUAAGUUGGGCACUCUAAGUUGACUGCCGGUGACAAACCGGAGGAAGGUGGGGAUGACGUCAAAUCAUCAUGCCCCUUAUGAUUUGGGCUACACACGUGCUACAAUGGACAAUACAAAGGGCAGCGAAACCGCGAGGUCAAGCAAAUCCCAUAAAGUUGUUCUCAGUUCGGAUUGUAGUCUGCAACUCGACUACAUGAAGCUGGAAUCGCUAGUAAUCGUAGAUCAGCAUGCUACGGUGAAUACGUUCCCGGGUCU